UUGUCUAACGGACUUCAUUGAUCGUAAAGUUCAUACGAUCGGCUACGAUCAACGAUCAAUCGUAACUUUACAUUGGUAUUGUCUAAUUUAGUUCAUUAUAUGAAGACCGGAUGGUGAACGAUGAACUGAAAUCAUUCAUGAAGAUUGCGUAUUGUUUAUGCAAAACGAUAGUGAAACUAUCGUUAAUAAUAUUAUCAAAUUUAAGUCAAACUCCAUAAUAAUGCAUAUAUUUUAACAAAGUUUUAUGUCUUUUGUUUAAAACAUUAAAGAAGCAUUAAAUUUCACGACAAAUAUCUACUAUUGAAGACAAUAGCGUGAGAAAAUGGUACAUGCAACUCAAGUAACAAAACGCAAUUAACGAAUUUAACCAAGGGCUAUUUGGACUAUUUGGUAAUCUCCCUGUUGUCUGUGUAGGCUAGUGUCAAAAUAACGGGGUAUCCUAUUAGUCUGUGGUGAAACAUAGCAUAUUAAUAACUGUGGAUUAGAAAUUUAAAUUUUAUAAACAAAACAAAGUUUUUAUUUUUCAGGUUUUAAAGAGAAUUUAGAAAUUGAGCAAAGUUUUACUAAAUUAUAGUGAUCUUAGGAGCAAAGUUUACUUCGUUUGUGUUAUUGUUAAUCAAAAAUAUAAAAACUAAAUUGAUUAUUAUGAACAGACCAUUAUGAUGAACCACUGAUAUUGACUCAGAGACAUGAAGAUGAGUGCUUUGACAACAAGACUGACUAGCUGAGCCAGCUUAAGAAUUAUGUGGUGUGUGUGUGUGUCUAAUUCCAGGAGCUCUCUAUGUCAGCCAUCCAUCUAUAUUCUUACUCAUUUUUGUUAAUUAUAAAAUAAAUUUGAUUAUUUAGUGUGUAACUUCAUUGUACCUAUCCUGCUAGCUGUUAGAAAGAUAGCAUCUGUAA